CGUGCGAUCUUUCCAUUCCUACUUGUUGUUUGAUAAGUAGUACGGAAUUAUCUCACAUU
rnacentral:pre_miRNA from 1 species